GAGUUUGAUCCUGGCUCAGGAUGAACGUUGGCGGCGUGCCUAAUACAUGCAGGUCGAGCGAACAGAUAAGGAGCUUGCUCCUUUGACGUUAGCGGCGGACGGGUGAGUAACACGUGGGUAACCUACCUAUAAGACUGGAAUAACUCCGGGAAACCGGGGCUAAUGCCGGAUAAUAUUUAGAACCGCAUGGUUCUAAAGUGAAAGAUGGUUUUGCUAUCACUUAUAGAUGGACCCGCGCCGUAUUAGCUAGUUGGUGGGGUAAUGGCUUACCAAGGCAACGAUACGUAGCCGACCUGAGAGGGUGAUCGGCCACACUGGAACUGAGACACGGUCCAGACUCCUACGGGAGGCAGCAGUAGGGAAUCUUCCGCAAUGGGCGAAAGCCUGACGGAGCAACGCCGCGUGAGUGAUGAAGGUCUUCGGAUCGUAAAACUCUGUUAUUAGGGAAGAACAAAUGUGUAAGUAACUGUGCACGUCUUGACGGUACCUAAUCAGAAAGCCACGGCUAACUACGUGCCA
rnacentral:rRNA from 1 species